rnacentral:misc_RNA from 1 species
CUCUCUCCAAGGACAGAUCUCUGAAGAAGCCUCCACAUUCCCCCACUGCGAUAAUUCCUCCUCCUCCUCCAUGGCGGUUUCUUUAAGGGCAAGCAGAAGGAUACCGUUUUAUUCUUUUCUAUCUCGAGCUUUAUCUUGUUCUUCGUUAAAUACCGAAGCUGACAUCAAAUCUUCUCUCUUUUUCGUUCAUAAUAAGGCUCUGCCUCUUCGUCCGGAGCCCAAGGAUAGGAAUGUCCAGUGGGUUUUCCUCGGUUGCCCUGGCGUUGGUAAGGGUACUUAUGCUUCUCGCCUCUCCAAUCUUCUCGGUGUCCCUCACAUCGCCACCGGUGAUCUCGUCCGCGAGGAACUCAAUUCCUCUGGUCCUCUUGCCUCUCAGCUUAAGGAGAUUGUGAACCAAGGGCAAUUAGUUUCGGAUGAAAUUAUUAUAAAUUUAUUGUCCAAGCGUCUUGAAGCUGGAGAAGCUAAGGGUGAAUCCGGUUUUAUUCUGGAUGGUUUCCCUCGAACUAUCAGACAAGCUGAAAUAUUGGAGGGAGUAACAGAUAUUGACUUGGUGGUUAACCUAAAGCUUCAGGAAGAAGCAUUACUUGCAAAAUGCCUUGGAAGAAGGAUAUGUAGUGAGUGUGGAGGAAAUUACAAUGUUGCCAGCAUUGACAUCAAGGGUGAAAAUGGGAAACCUGGAAUGUAUAUGGCUCCACUUCUUCCUCCUCCUCAUUGUGCAUCAAAACUUAUCCAACGAUCUGAUGAUACGGAAGUUGUUGUUAAGGAGCGACUUCGUAUUUACAAUGAAAUGAGCCGACCUGUUGAAGAGUUCUAUCACCAACGUGGGAAGUUGUUGGAGUUCACUCUUCCUGGAGGAAUCCCGGAAUCUUGGCCAAAGCUGCUUCAAGCUCUGAAUCUUGAAGACCCUGAAGUUAAACAAUCUGCAGCUGCAUGAGUUCCAACAGUUCCGUAUCAUAUUUGCAAGAUAAGUUUGGUCAUUCUUUGCAUGUGAGGGAUGUGAUAUUAUUUAUAAUGAAAGGGAAAACAGGACUGCGCAAUAAACAAAGUCUAAACCAUUUAGAAGCUGUGAUAUUGUUUGGAGAGCGGGAGGACUGUACUUUUGGUGAUAUUAAGUCGUCGAGUGAUGGUUUAGUCCAAGGUUAUUAUAUUGUAGCAAACUAUCAGUGCCUUUCAAUAUGGUGACAGUUGGUUUAGUCCAUGUUAAUUACAUGGUGACCAACUGUCAUUGCCAUUCAAUUUUGCUGUAUUAUUUUAUUUGGUUAUGAAAUUCUAUUUCAGGGUUCUUUGGACUGAAGUUCCAAACCAGAAAAGCAAAUAACAUGGAAAAUGUAUGAGCUACGUCAAGUGAAACAAAAAUUCAGACUUUUAUUCUUUGGAUGUGAACACCUUUAGUCCAUCUUAACUAGUUCUAUUCAUUGUGAGGUGCUAGCUAAUGUCUCUGAUUGUGCAGUGCUAUUGGGAAUGUGUCUGAGUUCCUAUUAACCUGCAAAUGGAAAGCUGGAUCAUAUUAGUUCCAACAUUGUAAUAAUGUAUUUGUG